GACGAACCGUCCUAACGUUGUUCGGAUUCACUGGGCUUAAAGGGCGCGUAGGCGGCUUGCCAAGUCAGGGGUGAAAUCUUUCGGCUUAACCGGAAAAGUGCUUCUGAUACUGGCGAGCUGGAGGGAGGUAGGGGCAGACGGAACUUCCGGUGGAGCGGUGAAAUGCGCAGAUAUCAGGAGGAACACCGGUGGCGAAGGCGGCAUCCUGGACCGGCAUUGACGCUGAGGCGCGAAAGCCAGGGGAGCAAACGGG
rnacentral:rRNA from 1 species